AACGAACGCUGGCGGCAGGCCUAACACAUGCAAGUCGAGCGCCCCGCAAGGGGAGCGGCGGACGGGUGAGUAACGCGUGGGAACGUGCCCUCUUCUACGGAAUAGCCUCGGGAAACUGGGAGUAAUACCGUAUACGCCCUUAGGGGGAAAGAUUUAUCGGAGGAGGAUCGGCCCGCGUUGGAUUAGGUAGUUGGUGGGUAAUGGCCUACCAAGCCGACGAUCCAUAGCUGGUUUGAGAGGAUGAUCAGCCACACUGGGACUGAGACACGGCCCAGACUCCUACGGGAGGCAGCAGUGGGGAAUCUUAGACAAUGGGCGGCAAGCCUGAUCUAGCCAUGCCGCGUGAGCGAUGAAGG
rnacentral:rRNA from 1 species